rnacentral:sRNA from 12 species
AUAUUAGACGAAAUUGGGAACGGGCCCCAAUAAUAGUUAUUAGAUUUUUAAUAUAAAACGUUAAUGGUUCGUCGUGUACGAUCCUCUGCGAGUUGUUUAUCUUCACAGCAGAUUACGUAAGUAAGAGUUUGGAGCAUUUAUAAAAUGGGCCAACAUUUUGUUAGUAUU